rnacentral:rRNA from 1 species
CCUACGAUGUGCAGCAGUGAGGAAUAUUGGUCAAUGGACGGAAGUCUGAACCAGCCAUGCCGCGUGCAGGAAGACGGCUCUAUGAGUUGUAAACUGCUUUUGUACAAGGGUAAACCUGAAUACGUGUAUUCAGCUGAAAGUACUGUACGAAUAAGGAUCGGCUAACUCCGUGCCAGCAGCCGCGGUAAUACGGAGGAUCCAAGCGGUAUCCGGAUUUAUGGGGUUUAAAGGGUGCGUAGGCGGAGUGAUAUGUUAGAUGUGAAAUGUCCGAGCUUAACUCGGGAACUGCAUUUAAUACUGUUGAUAUAGAGAGUAGAAGCGGUAGGCGGAAUGUAUGGUGUAGCGGUGAAAUGCUUAGAGAUCAUACAGAACACCGAUUGCGAAGGCAGCUUACCAAUCUAUAUCUGACGUUGAGGCACGAAAGCGUGGGGAGCAAACAGGAUUAGAUACCCUUGUAGUC